ACGGGUCGGGUCGAGCUAGGGUCCAGACCCGGAACCGACCCCCACUCGCGUAAGGGCCCGACGCGAGGCCCUUCUCCCUCGCCUUUCCCUUCCUUCUUCGUUGUCUCCGGUGGUCUCCUGUGGCAACGCAGAGGGAGGAGAGUGACGGUCGGGUGGUGGUGGCUGGAACGGCGACGGCGACGGCGACGGAGGUGGCAGCGGCGACGGCGGCGGCGGCUGCUGGGUAAACCCUCUCUCUCUCGUGCGAUUUUUCUUGCUCUGCCACUCAUGCCCUUUUGUCUGUUUUGCUCUCUGCCGCACGUCCCCUCUUCUUCUCUCUCGCCAUUUUCUUUCCCCUCUUUCCGCUGGUUCUCUACCGCUCGACCCUCUUCUCACUCACCCGCACUCCCCCGCCUGCUCUUUCUCUCUCUUCUCACCCCACGGCUGUUUUCCCCCUUGACCGAACCCUUCCUCUCUCUGUCUCUCCUCUCUGUCAGCGUCCCUUUUCUUUGUUUAUUUCAGUUUUUUUUUUCCCCAACUACUACCGUGGGUCUUUCCUAGCAACAGAGUUUGUGUUAAACUUUUUGGGCGUUUGGGGUUGGUUUGCAGUUUAGGGGACGUUUUUCCCCUCUUACCUGCUAGUAGGGUGUGUAGUGAGCAGCGACAGCAAGCAAUCUCGAGCAUUGGCACUUGAUCGGACGUGUGAAGUGGUUGCUAGAAGGGUUGUAGCAGUUUGGACGCUUGUUUGGGGUGCACCGGGCUCAUCCCGUCGACCUUGAGUUCGAAGCUUGAGGCAUUUUGAAGAAUUUGGUGAGCGCGCCACAGGUUUUGGUGUACCCGGGGCAGCAGGCUGAGCAGAUGGCUACACUCACGUCCUACUGGGGAGGUUUUGGGUUUUGUUUUGUUCUUGUAGUGCCGG